rnacentral:rRNA from 1 species
AUGUGUGUCUCACCGGGAGAACAAAGCAAAGCUGGUUCCUCCCACGGUGAGAUGUGUGUGUGUGUAGAGUUUCUUGUGUAUGUGUGUGUUCUUGUGUUCUUGAGAGAAGAAGAUAGAGAGAAACCACAAGAGAGUUUUGUGAGGGAGCUCGAGGUAGAAGAAGAAGCGGCGCUGCGAGGAGGCGGCGCCAACAAUUGGUAUCAGAGCCAGGUUGAUCCGCGGCGGCGGCGGCGGCGUGGUGGACUCCAUGGGAGGUGGAGGACGCCGACGCGAGGUGAUGGCUGGCAGGGGCGCGAUGCCGCGGGCGGCCGGUUGCGGUGCGAUGCUGCCGACGACGGUGGUGUGAUGCCAUCGUCAUCAUGGAAAGUUGGUGUGAAGCCAACAAAAGUUGCGGUGCGAUGCCGCUUGGCGAAGACGGCGUGGUGA